GGAAGGUGCCAGAUUAUUGCAUCAGAUUGCUUGUCAGCAUUGUUUCCACAAUUUGUUUUUAUUCUGUCCUUUUCUUGCCAGCGUGCUCUUGUUCCAUCUACAUCUCCUAGGGUUAUUGUGGACUACAGAGCCAGCACGAUGGUGAUGGAUGAGCCCACCCCACCCAGCCAAGAGAGGCGGGUGGUCUCAAGGACCCACCCGAGAACAGCCCGCGUGACAGGAAACCACCCACACCAAGGGAUCCAGAGCGGUCCACCAGCCUCACCGAAGCACCCUAAAACCGCCGCCCCCAACUGCCAACCACCACACCAGCCCGCCAUCCCAUGCGCCCCUCUGCAGCACCCCCUGCCAUUCACGGGACAGCGAGAUGCCCUCCCCCAACCAGUAGAGCCUGCCAUAGUAGUCAGCCUCAUCCCAGCCGUAGAGUGAGCCAGUGACCCGUGCCAGGUGGACAGGAGGGCGGAUAGGCAGGGCACGAGAGGGGGUUCCCACCCCCCACAGCCAUCUGGACAGAGGGGUCCACCCCCACGAGCCUCGCCAUGAAAUUAGUAGAUACCUCCCCCCCUGUGACUAUGACUGCCAGAUCCCCGACUGGCAGUCAUUGGCCCCCCGUGUGGUGUGAAAUCCUUUUCAAUCUAUAUUCAAUUGAAUCAAUUGUCCCUGAAAAAGACAUUUCCAGAAUGGCAGCAUACAGUAUAUUGCUCCAAAACCUAUGCUGGCUUUCGAACUUUGCACUGAUAACAAUCUGGAUGGUCCUUUUCCUCUUUGGCCCGGAGGACACGACACAAGUGAUUUCCAAAAACAAUUUGAAACGUGGACUCGUCAGACCACAGUGUCAUGGACUGCCCUGCAGUACUGUUUUGGAGCCUGGAUGGUGCUUUGCGCCCUCUUGUCCUAUCUCUCCCCUCUCUGUUUCAGCUUCUCCUCAAGCCACGCACCUGUCCCCAAUCAACCCUCAUCACCACCUACAUUUAAGCCUGCCUCUUCCCGGAAAUCCUCGCCAAAGUAUUGCAGCCUCUCCUAGCGGUAUCACGGCCCACCAUACUCAAUUAAGCUACUAAACUCCUCGUUCCCUUGUUAACUCUUGUGUCUCCUCGUUCCCAGUGUUCUUGACCCACGUCAUCCCUGCCUGCCACCUGUCCACGCCGCCGCCUGUCAACACA